CUAAAAAAAACUAUCAUUAGCAAGAAGAGUGCUACAGAAACAAUAAUGGCAGCACAAAAGUUUCAACUUGCUUUUAUGCUCUUAUUUAUUUUUCUUCUUGUCUCUCCAUCAAUUGCUCAACCAGGUGCUGCUAGCUGUCGUUACAAAGGCCCUUGUAAAAUCGAUGCUGAUUGCAAGAAUAUAUGCACUGCCGCAGAUGAAGAUCACAGGAAUUUUAUGUGCUUUGAAAAUAACCCACCGCAUGGACUUUGUUGUUGUAUAAUACACCACUAAUCAUGAUAUAUUUAUAUAUAUUUCUAUGGUUAUAUCAUUGCCAAUAAUUGAAAGUAAUAAAAAUAAGUAUUUGAAAA